UACGUAGGGUGCGAGCGUUGUCCGGAAUUAUUGGGCGUAAAGGGCUUGUAGGCGGUUUGUCGCGUCGGAAGUGAAAACACGGGGCUUAACUCUGUGCUUGCUUUCGAUACGGGCAGACUAGAGGGAUGCAGGGGAGAACGGAAUUCCUGGUGUAGCGGUGAAAUGCGCAGAUAUCAGGAGGAACACCGGUGGCGAAGGCGGUUCUCUGGGCAUUCCCUGACGCUGAGGAGCGAAAGCAUGGGGAGCGAACAGG
rnacentral:rRNA from 1 species